rnacentral:rRNA from 1 species
GUGGGGAAUAUUGGACAAUGGGCGAAAGCCUGAUCCAGCCAUGCCGCGUGUGUGAAGAAGGUCUUCGGAUUGUAAAGCACUUUAAGUUGGGAGGAAGGGCAUUAACCUAAUACGUUAGUGUUUUGACGUUACCGACAGAAUAAGCACCGGCUAACUUCGUGCCAGCAGCCGCGGUAAUACGAAGGGUGCAAGCGUUAAUCGGAAUUACUGGGCGUAAAGCGCGCGUAGGUGGUUCAGUAAGUUGGAUGUGAAAUCCCCGGGCUCAACCUGGGAACUGCAUCCAAAACUGCUGAGCUAGAGUACGGUAGAGGGUGGUGGAAUUUCCUGUGUAGCGGUGAAAUGCGUAGAUAUAGGAAGGAACACCAGUGGCGAAGGCGACCACCUGGACUGAUACUGACACUGAGGUGCGAAAGCGUGGGGAGCAAACAGGAUUAGAUACCCGAGUAGUCC